UACGUAGGCAGCGAGCGUUGUUCGGAGUUACUGGGCGUAAAGAGUGCGUAGGCGGUUUUCUAAGUUUGGUGUGAAAUCUCGUCGGCUCAACUGGGAGGGUGCGCCGAAGACUGGAAGGCUUGAGUAUGGGAGAGGUAAGCGGAAUUCCUGGUGUAGCGGUGAAAUGCGUAGAUAUCAGGAGGAACACCUGCGGUGUAGACGGCUUACUGGACCAUAACUGACGCUGAGGCACGAAAGCGUGGGUAGCAAACAGG
rnacentral:rRNA from 1 species